UACAGAGGGUGCGAGCGUUAAUCGGAAUUACUGGGCGUAAAGCGUGCGUAGACGGUUAUUUAAGUCGGAUGUGAAAGCCCCGGGCUCAACCUGGGAAUUGCAUUCGAGACUGAAUAGCUAGGGUACGGUAGAGGGAAGCGGAAUUUCCGGUGUAGCGGUGAAAUGCGUAGAUAUCGGAAGGAACAUCAGUGGCGAAAGCGGCUUCCUGGACCAGUACCGACGUUCAGGCACGAAAGCGUGGGGAGCAAACAGG
rnacentral:rRNA from 1 species